AUUGAACGCUGGCGGCAUGCCUUACACAUGCAAGUCGAACGGUAACAGAUCUUCGGAUGCUGACGAGUGGCGAACGGGUGAGUAAUACAUCGGAACGUGCCUAGUAGUGGGGGAUAACUACUCGAAAGAGUGGCUAAUACCGCAUGAGAUCUACGGAUGAAAGCAGGGGAUCGCAAGACCUUGUGCUACUAGAGCGGCCGAUGGCAGAUUAGGUAGUUGGUGGGAUAAAAGCUUAACAAGCCGACGAUCUGUAGCUGGUCUGAGAGGACGAUCAGCAACACUGGGACUGAGACACGGCCCAGACUCCUACGGGAGGCAGCAGUGGGGAAUUUUGGACAAUGGGCGCAAGCCUGAUCCAGCAAUGCCGCGUGCAGGAUGAAGGCCUUCGGGUUGUAAACUGCUUUUGUACGGAACGAAAAGCCCUGGGUUAAUACCCUGGGGUCAUGACGGUACCGUAAGAAUAAGCACCGGCUAACUACGUGCCAGCAGCCGCCGUAAUAC
rnacentral:rRNA from 1 species